AGAAGGGGGGUGGGGGGACUGGGACUGGGUGGGCGUCUUGCUAGGUCAGCCUCCAGCUUCAGGCUCCUCUGGGCUGGCGUGGCUGUGCCGAGGCAGGAGGGAGGCUGCGUGCUGGGCUCUGGCUUUUCCUCCUCAUCGGAGCCAGGGGAGGUGGUUGAGAAUUUGUGUGUGGAAAUAAAGAGAAGCGUCUGCGGUGUGUGCCCUUCUUGUGGGCAUCAUUUGUGCUUUGUAGGCUUGCAUAGGCUUAUUGUUGUACUGAAAUAAAGCAUCUCUGAGCUCUGACACUGGCUGCCUUGGCACAGAUACUUGGAAAAAAAGUUAAGAUAAAAUCUUUCUGAUGCAUUAAGUGUUUUGCCCGAUGUAUGACGCAGGUUAUGGAGCUGGGGAUCUUGACAAGUCUGGUCUUGAAUAUCCUUAUUUAUGUGUCUCUGUUCUCCUCUCUGUCAAACAGGGAGAAUGCCUGAAACAAUGAGCAACACAGAGGUUUUGGUGUGGAAACUGUGGCAAGUUUUCCAUGCUAAGCAUUCUUUUAUCCUGGGGGUUUGGGUCUCUGUAAAAACUGAUGGCAGCAAAAGCAGGUCAGGUAGUACCUACCACGGAGCUGAUGCAGCCUGUGGGGGAAUGCAUGGGUCCAGAGGUCUCUCAGCUGCUCUUGCAUCCCCUAGAACAGCUCAGAGAAGCAGGGUUGGGUGCACAGUUUCUUGAGAAAAGGCCUCCUGGGGCUCAGGAGGCAGCAGACCCCUCCUGUGUGAUUCCAGUUUUCUGCUGCUUUCUCUCAUUCCUGCUUAAACUCCUGACUGUGGUUUGCAAUCUGAGUUUCACAAACUGUUGGAAAGAAGCUGCUUUCUGCUUCUGGAGACAGCUCCAGGCUUACUUGGCCUCUUGACACUUUUGGUGCAGGAACCUCAGAAACCACACAAAACCUGAGGUUGGCAGGGAGAGGAGCUAGGUUUACUGGGAAGGUGGCUGUUGGUGAGGUGUGGUGGUGCCAGCUGUGGUGAUGAGCAUCAGUCCUCCUGUGUGUCUGGAUGCCUUCCUUUUACUUAAAGUGAGAAGUGUGUUUCUAGCCUCACUGACCCUGUGAAUGGCCCUGACCUUGCCCCAGCUGCUGUUUUUAAUUGUUUGCUCCUUCAUCCACAAUAAGUUCCUGUGAGAGCUGGUUAGUCUUGUCCCCUCUGUCUCCUGACAGAGCUGUGGCUUUGCCACAGCAAGAUGUCACACAAGGCAAGAGGAGAUGAGUUUGCCCAGGGUAGUUGGAUUAGAGGGGCACUGAACACAGGGGGAAGUGUGGAAAAGCAAGUGAGUGAAACUCCUCCUGUGAGCAGAGAGGGGUAUACUCUGCUUCUGCAGGUCUUUUGGGGUUUCAUUUAGUUUUGCUUUUGAAGCACAACAGGUGCUUUUCCAGCUGGAGAGCUGAUGUCCUGAGUGUGUGGGGAGCUCUGUCACUCUUGCUGCAGCCCUAGCUUGGCCCAACAGCCUUCAUGAGAUGCAUCUCUUUUUCUUCCCUGCUGUGUAGUCAGCUUUAUGGCAGAGAAAACAGUAUGGCCCUGUGUCAGCGUUUGACUCAGGUCUGACAACAAUGCUCUCGAUCCCCUCCCCCUCCCACCCAGGUAGGGAAGGAGAGAGAGAAAAAGAGAGAGACUUGGCUGGAUUGAAAACUAAACUACACAGCUUUAAUUAUACACUAAUGCUAUGAGAAAAUACAUACAGUUAUAUACAGAUAUGUUCAGGUAUGAGCAAAAGCCUUUCGCCUCCCCCCACCCCAGCAACUCCCACAGCACUCCCCUGAGCUGGGACAGUCCCGAGGAAUCCCAGAGAUGCUGCUGGAGAAAGCACAGAGUGAUGAGGGUCAGGAGAGCUCCAGCCUAAGGGUCGAUGGUGCUGGAUGGACGGAGUCCUCCCCGGGCGCCGGACAUGGGUGGAAGUGAAGGAAAGAAGAAGCAGGAAGGAAGUUGUCUUCUGUGAUCUUCUGUGUUAGAAAAACAUUCCAAUGUCUUAUCAGUCUAGCUAGAACAGAAUGUUGCUAGUUAAAAGAAAGCUCACUGAAGAAAAAAAAAUCAGUAAAAAGGAAAAUUGGCUACAUCCUGGCUCAGACCAGGACACCCUGUUUAUUGCAGACUGUGGGUAGGAGUUGCAGAAGUGAGAACUGUCAUGCUGUGGAUCUAAAACAGGAUGACUGCUCUACCUGUAUCCAUCAAUCUCUUGUGGGAGCGAAGAGCACCAGGCUGCUCCCAGCAGCUUCUGACAUGCAGGUCAUCUCGUCUGUUGAUGAGACACAGGGACUGUCGUUCCUCCACUUCUUCCCUUCCUGCUUUGCUUGUCUGCAGCCCUCUGGGCUUCCCGGGCAGAGCCCUGGCCCUCCCUGGGCUGGGGCAGCACAAGUACGGCCAAGAGCUGCCCCAGCUCUCAAGAGAGCUGAGGGUGCCCUGAGCCCCUUGGCUCCCUGAAGAGGCACAGCUUGGCUGGGAACUGUCCUGGGUCCACCAGACAGCUCCCUUCUCUCUGCAUGAGUCUCUUCCUGGGUGAUGGAGGUCUUGGGCUUCAGGGGGUGAAAUUUAAGCUGUCAGUGACUCUCCUGUUUUCUUCCCUGCAGGUAGGCAGGAGCUCCCCGUAGCCGAGUGAGGCAGCAUGGCAAGUGGGAGUCAAGAGGAGGUGCUGAAGGGCUGACCUCUCUGGGACUCCCCGCAGGCUGCAGCAUUUUGUGGCGUGAUGCUUGCUGUGCAAGGCAGGCCCCCCUGAGGCUCUUGGGACUGACUGACCCCUCUGCAGGGGUUGCUGCUCUGCGCUGCCAUCUCCCAGCAACAGUGCUCCUCGUGACUGGCAUCCCAUGAGCUGCCCAUCCUGGGGAACACGCUGCCUUGUAGCCCGUGUGGCUGGUGGCACUGGGGCUCUGCUUUCCCAGUGGACAGGCAGCUGCUCAACCCAACCCCGCAUCUCAGUGUCUGAAGGAGCACCUGGCAGAUGGGGCUGCUUGGGGCCAGUGGCUAAAGCUGGGCUGAGGCUGGCGAGGGUGGAGGAUGGUGUGUGGUCUCUAAAGAGCUGGACUCAACCCUCCCUCCUCGCUCUCCUGGGCAGCCUGCGCUGAGGCUGCGCGUAGCCGUGAGAUGGGAGCUCCGGGAGGACGGCACUUGUCAAUGGGAGAUGUGGAGAUCUGGCUGGGAUCUCGGGAUUUGCUCGGGGUGUUGCUGGAGCCAGCUAAGAAGGUGGAGGCAGUAGCCACACUGGGCAGCAAGAGGACGCCAGAGAUGACAGGUCCCUGAGGAAAAUGGGAUGUGGGGAGAGGCACGCAGCUCCAGCGUUUUCCCUUGGGACAUUGCUUGUGAUACCUGCCUGCCUGGGUGCCUGUUUCUAUUUACCACCAUAGUGACCAGCUCAGCAUGGCAAAGCAGAGAAGGGCUCAAGUGACUGUAACCUGCAGGGAUGGAAAACCCUGACAGUGAGAUGUGCAGCCAAGCUUGUUGCUCCAAGGUGUGCUGAGGAUGUUGGAAAAAGGCUCAGGUUUGAGUGCUGAGGAGGGAAGAGUUGAUACCACAGCCUAGUCAAGGUGGGAGGAAAAGGAGGUGAGCCAGACUUCUUCACCAAAGGGUGGGACAUUGAUGGAACGGAUGGUGUCUUUGUAAAAUUUCAUCUCAUUCUGGAAGGGCUCAAGAGAAGCUCAGCCUGCUCCCUCUCCAGCCAGGACUGCCCUCCUCAACUGUGACAGCCAAGGCAAGCUGAUCCCUGCCCUCCUGCAAGAUGCCUUCUGUGCCUCUCAAACAUGCUUUUUUCAGUUGUUCUUGUAAAAAAAAAAACAAACCAAAAAUAACAACAGCAACAAAAGGUUUGCAUAAUAAAGUCAAUUCUGAAGGAA